rnacentral:rRNA from 1 species
UACAGAGGGUGCAAGCGUUGUUCGGAGUUACUGGGCGUAAAGGGUGCGUAGGCGGCUUCUUAAGUCUGGUGUGAAAUCUCCCGGCUCAACUGGGAGGGUGCGCCGGAUACUGAGGGGCUAGAGUGUGGGAGAGGAAAGUGGAAUUCCUGGUGUAGCGGUGAAAUGCGUAGAUAUCAGGAGGAACACCGGUGGUGUAAACGGCCUUUCUGGACCAUAACUGACGCUGAGGCACGAAAGCGUGGGUAGCAAACAGG